rnacentral:rRNA from 1 species
ACUCAAAGGAAUAGACGGGGGCUCGCACAAGCGGUGGAGCAUGUGGUUUAAUUCGACGACAAGCGGGGCACCUCACCCAGGCUUGACAUCUAGGGAAUCCCCUGGAAACAGGGGAGUGCCGCAAGGAACCCUAAGACAGGUGUUGCACGGUCGUCGUCAGCUCGUGUCGUGAGAUGUACGGUUAAGUCCGUAAACGAGCGAAACCCUCAUCCGGUGUUGUAUUUUCUCACCGGAGACUGCCGGCUUUAAGCUGGAGGAAGAUGGGGAUGACGUCAGAUCAGCGUGGCCCUUAUGCCUGGGGCGACACACGUGCUACAAUGCUAUAGACAAUGGGUUGCUAAGCCGCGAGGCGGAGCUAAUCCCACCAAAAUAUAGCCCAGUUCGGAUUGAAGUCUGAAACUCGACUUCAUGAAGCCGGAAUCGCUAGUAACCGCAAAUCAGCCACGUUGCGGUGAAUACGUUCUCGAGCCUUGUACACACCGCCCGU